UACAGAGGGGGCAAGCGUUGUUCGGAAUUACUGGGCGUAAAGGGCGCGUAGGCGGCCUUCUAAGUCGAACGUGAAAUCCCUGGGCUCAACCCAGGAACUGCGUCCGAUACUGGAAGGCUUGAAUCCGGGAGAGGGAUGCGGAAUUCCAGGUGUAGCGGUGAAAUGCGUAGAUAUCUGGAGGAACACCGGUGGCGAAGGCGGCAUCCUGGACCGGUAUUGACGCUGAGGCGCGAAAGCAUGGGGAGCGAACGGG
rnacentral:rRNA from 1 species